rnacentral:rRNA from 1 species
UACGGGGGGGGCAAGCGUUGUUCGGAAUUACUGGGCGUAAAGGGCUCGUAGGUGGCCAACUAAGUCAGACGUGAAAUCCCUCAGCUUAACUGGGGAACUGCGUCUGAUACUGGAUGGCUUGAGUUUGGGAGAGGGAUGCGGAAUUCCAGGUGUAGCGGUGAAAUGCGUAGAUAUCAGGAAGAACACCCGUGGCGAAGGCGGUUCUCUGGGACGGUACUGACGCUGAGACGCGAAAGCGUGGGGAGCGAACAGG